AUUGAACGCUGGCGGAAUGCUUUACACAUGCAAGUCGAGCGGCAGCGCGGGGCAACCUGGCGGCGAGCGGCGAACGGGUGAGUAAUGCAUCGGAACAUGUCCAUUCGUGGGGGAUAGCCCGGCGAAAGCCGGAUUAAUACCGCAUACGCCCCGAGGGGGAAAGCGGGGGACUUCGCAAGAGGCCUCGCGCGAAUGGGUUGGCCGAUGUCCGAUUAGCUAGUUGGUGGGGUAAAGGCUUACCAAGGCGAUGAUCGGUAGCUGGUCUGAGAG
rnacentral:rRNA from 1 species